GCAGAUCCCGGGCAGCCCCAACAGGGAAUGCUUUUGUCUCAUAAUGGAAAAAAGAAAGACGCACAGAUAUCCAAUUCAGCGUCCGAAGAAGAAUUGAAGGAAAGUAGCUCACGGAAGAAUAGACUACAGCCAGAAUCAUCCAUUAUUUCUGACAGGCAGAGUGCAAGCAUCCCACCUUCGCCGAGCCCAAAAAACGUAGGUGAAUUGUCAUCCACUAAUACUAAAGUUUCACACAAUGCAGAAUCAUCUUGCACUUCAGAGGUAGAAACAAGCACAACAAAUGCAUUGAUAGGCUCAAAAGUUCCCACAAGAAGCAAAGAUACAAACGACAGUCAUGAAAACAAAUCCAUAUCAGAAAGUCAAUGCAAUGAUGACACCAAACAGCUGGAAUUGAAUGAUGAGAGUAAAUUAGAUAUGGACAAAUUUGUUGAUGCAUUUGAUGCCAAACAAGAUACCGAAGAAAUUUCGACUACCUCAAACAACAGUGUAGAAGUCAAAGCCCAGAAUCAAGAGGGUUUUGCUGUUACGGAAAACCUUGCUUUGGUGGAUAUGAAAAAAGAUGAUGGUCAUCAUGAGAAAGCUGUUGGAGGAAAGAAAAGAAAACUGAACCUAUCUGAAUACCGUGAUCGACAACGAAAACGCCUCGAUCCAGGAGUCCUAUUGAUUGCCAAGUGGGAAGUGUCAUAUAUUGAUUUAGACAGUAGCAACGACCCUGCGAAUCGAAGAUCAUACAAGGAUCUUCUGAAUAAAAUUAGGGAUUUAGAGCAGAAAGUUAUUGAAACAGCAUCCUCUGGCAAUGAUGUGGCAGUUCUUGAAGUGGAGGAAAGAGCUGAAAAUUCAAAAACCUCAGAAAAGAGCGAUAAACAUCCAGUAAUGGCUACUUGUAUCGAAGAGUUUAUGGAAAAGAAAAUUGAAGAAGAAAUCCCAAAAACAGAUGAAAAAAAUUCAGGCAAGCAAAGUGAAGUUACAGGAAGUCUAAAAAAAGUCCAUCAGUAACGGAAAAGAGUAAUGAAGUACGAGAUGGUGUGAAAAAAAACAAAGAAAAAAAUGAUGUCAAGAGUGCCAAAAGUACCAAGAGUUCUUCAGCUGAUUCCAAAAAGACCAGUGGAGACAGACCAGGUACCAAGGAGAAUAACCGAAAAGGUGUCAAAAAAUUGCUCAAGAACCGUCCAAGUCUUCCAAAGAAAGGAAUGAUAAGAGAAGACGCUCCAGCAGUAGUAAUGAUAGUGACCGCAGUUCAGAACAUUCAAAAAAGUAAGUUACCUUUGAGGAGGGAAAUUAUUAAGUCUGAUUGUUGCUAGCUUUCAAGGUAGCUUUAAUUAUGCUUAACGGGAAUUCUUGAAUCAACUAUAAUCAACUUUAUUUCUUUUUCAGCUCUUAUGAACAGACUUGUAGACUUGUUUUUAAUCAAAGCAUUCCAAAAAAUCUGCAAAUCAUGUUUUAGUUGGAUUCUUAAAGAAAAUUUGAAAAAUUUAACUUCAUAGGGAGUUGAUGGGAUGGGAAAAACCAUUAGUUGAGCAAAACUUUGCAGUUUCUGUGAAAUUGCUUAGUUAACGUUGGUUUUAAUGGUUUCUUUCCUUCCUGAGAGGAAAAAGGAAUAAAGUACCCAUUGGGAUCU
rnacentral:lncRNA from 1 species